UAUCGUUUGGCGGAAUUGGUAGACGCGAUGGGCUUAAAACCUAUUUCCAUGAGGAGUAUUGGUUCGAUUCCAAUAACGGUUU
rfam:Tokyovirus A1 DNA, nearly complete genome.